rnacentral:rRNA from 1 species
GACGAACGCUGGCGGCGUGCUUAACACAUGCAAGUCGAACGGAAAGGCCCUUCUUUUGUGGGGUGCUCGAGUGGCGAACGGGUGAGUAACACGUGAGUAACCUGCCCUUGACUUUGGGAUAACUUCAGGAAACUGGGGCUAAUACCGGAUAGGAGCUCCUGCUGCAUGGUGGGGGUUGGAAAGUUUCGGCGGUGGGGGAUGGACUCGCGGCUUAUCAGCUUGUUGGUGGGGUAGUGGCUUACCAAGGCUUUGACGGGUAGCCGGCCUGGGAGGGUGACCGGCCACAUUGGGACUGAGAGACGGCCCAGAGUCCUACGGGAGGCAGCAGGGGGGAAGAUUGCACAAUGGGCGGAAGCCUGAUGCAACAACGCCGCGUGCGGGAUGACGGCCUUCGGGUUGUAAACCGCUUUCGCCUGUGACGAAGCGUGAGUGACGGUAAUGGGUAAAGAAGCACCGGCUAACUACGUG